rnacentral:rRNA from 2 species
UACGAAGGGGACUAGCGUUGUUCGGAAUUACUGGGCGUAAAGCGCACGUAGGCGGAUUUGUUAGUCAGGGGUGAAAUCCCGGGGCUCAACCUCGGAACUGCCUUUGAUACUGCAAAUCUCGAGUCCGAUAGAGGUGGGUGGAAUUCCUAGUGUAGAGGUGAAAUUCGUAGAUAUUAGGAAGAACACCGGUGGCGAAGGCGGCCCACUGGAUCGGUACUGACGCUGAGGUGCGAAAGCGUGGGGAGCAAACAGG